AACCGUCUCUGUCAUCUAAGUUGUAGUAUCCGGCAGUGAGCUCAGCUGCGUGGUUUGGAACCCUGUACCACCAGUGAAUGCCAGAGAUCUGCAAGCAAUAUUUCAGCAUGUUAUAUUAUGUUCCAGAUUCACCCGUAUAUCGUUUUAAGCCAGGUUAUUCACCAUGGUACUUACUUUGAUGGCCAGCUGCACUCUGCAUCCCAGGAAGACCUUGUUUGCUUCGUCCAAGAUCUUAUCCCCGUGCUUGAUCAGUUUGUUGGAGUACCAUGUGAGGAAGAACUUCCCCUUCUCGGUCUGGUAUGUUCCGUUGUCCACAAAGAACUGGGUUUUCUCAGGAGUGUCAUUGUACUCCCCAGCGUCAUCGGGCAAUUCCCACUCAGGAUGCCCAGCUUUUGUCGCUGCAGCUUUGAAGUCUGCUUCCAGUUUCCAGCCGAAAUCAACACUUGGACCAAGAUUAGAGAAUUAGACUGCCUUUGCCCAACACAUGGAUAUAUCUCCUUUUGAUUUACUAAAGGAAAGAUGGAA